rnacentral:rRNA from 1 species
GACGAACGCUGGCGGCGUGCUUAACACAUGCAAGUCGAGCGGUAAGGCCCUUUCGGGGGUACACGAGCGGCGAACGGGUGAGUAACACGUGGGUGACCUGCCCUUAGCUCUGGGAUAAGCCUGGGAAACUGGGUCUAAUACCGGAUAUGACUCCAUGACGCAUGUUGUGGGGUGGAAAGCCUUGUGCGGCUAGGGGAUGGGCCCGCGGCCUAUCAGCUUGUUGGUGGGGUGAUGGCCUACCAAGGCGACGACGGGUAGCCGGCCUGAGAGGGCGACCGGCCACACUGGGACUGAGACACGGCCCAGACUCCUACGGGAGGCAGCAGUGGGGAAUCUUGCGCAAUGGGCGAAAGCCUGACGCAGCGACGCCGCGUGAGGAUGAC